rnacentral:rRNA from 1 species
UACGGGGGGGGCAAGCGUUGUUCGGAAUUACUGGGCGUAAAGGGCGCGUAGGCGGUUGGAUAAGUCAGCUGUGAAAACCACGAGCUCAACUUGUGGCCUGCAGUUGAAACUGUCUGGCUAGAGUGUGGGAGAGGGAAGUGGAAUUCCUGGUGUAGCGGUGAAAUGCGUAGAUAUCAGGAGGAACACCGGUGGCGAAGGCGGCUUCCUGGACCACAACUGACGCUGGAGGCGACGAAAGCCUAGGGGAGCAAACAGG